GAUGAACGCUGGCGGCGUGCCUAAUACAUGCAAGUCGAGCGAACGGACGAGGAGCUUGCUUUUCUGAUGUUAGCGGCGGACGGGUGAGUAACACGUGGAUAACCUACCUAUAAGACUGGGAUAACUUCGGGAAACCGGAGCUAAUACCGGAUAAUAUUUUGAACCGCAUUGUUCAAAAGUGAAAGACGGUCUUGCUGUCACUUAUAGAUGGAUCCGCGCUGCAUUAGCUAGUUGGUAAGGUAACGGCUUACCAAGGCAACGAUGCAUAGCCGACCUGAGAGAGUGAUCGGCCACACUGGAACUGAGACACGGUCCAGACUCCUACGGGAGGCAGCAGUAGGGAAGCUUCCGCAAUGGGCGAAAGCCUGACGGAGCAACGCCGCGUGAGUGAUGAAGGUCUUCGGAUCGUAAAACUCUGUUAUUAGGGAAGAACAUAUGUGUAAGUAACUGUGCACAUCUUGACGGUACCUAAUCAGAAAGCCACGGCUAACUACGUG
rnacentral:rRNA from 1 species